CAUUUUCUAUGAGUAUGGAGGAGAAGUUAAUGUAAGGUGGUGUUUUAUUCAAUUUUCGCUAGUCAUUUUCGGAUAUGCAUCUCUGAAAAUAUCAUUGAGUUGUUCAUUUAACUAACUCAAUGAAUUAAAACACAAUAAUUAAGUGCAUGGAUUAUUUCGAAGAUACAUCUUCGAAUACACCCAAAUAUAAUACGAAGAGGCAUUUCCUGAUUAAAUAUUUUGCAAAACUAAGUGAGUCUCAAAAAAAAUACAUUUU
rnacentral:lncRNA from 1 species